GCUUAACACAUGCAAGUCGAACGGAAAGGCCCUGCUUUUGUGGGGUGCUCGAGUGGCGAACGGGUGAGUAACACGUGAGUAACCUGCCCUUGACUUUGGGAUAACUUCAGGAAACUGGGGCUAAUACCGGAUAGGAGCUCCUGCUGCAUGGUGGGGGUUGGAAAGUUUCGGCGGUUGGGGACGGACUCGCGGCUUAUCAGCUUGUUGGUGGGGUAGUGGCUUACCAAGGCUUUGACGGGUAGCCGGCCUGAGAGGGUGACCGGCCACAUUGGGACUGAGAUACGGCCCAGACUCCUACGGGAGGCAGCAGUGGGGAAUAUUGCACAAUGGGCGGAAGCCUGAUGCAGCAACGCCGCGUGCGGGAUGACGGCCUUCGGGUUGUAAACCGCUUUCGCCUGUGACGAAGCGUGAGUGACGGUAAUGGGUAAAGAAGCACCGGCUAACUACGUGCCAGCAGCCGCGGUGAUACGUAGGGUGCGAGCGUUGUCCGGAUUUAUUGGGCGUAAAGGGCUCGUAGGUGGUUGAUCGCGUCGGAAGUGUAAUCUUGGGGCUUAACCCUGAGCGUGCUUUCGAUACGGGUUGACUUGAGGAAGGUAGGGGAGAAUGGAAUUCCUGGUGGAGCGGUGGAAUGCGCAGAUAUCAGGAGGAACACCAGUGGCGAAGGCGGUUCUCUGGGCCUUUCCUGACGCUGAGGAGCGAAAGCGUGGGGAGCGAACAGGCUUAGAUACCCUGGUAGUCCACGCUGUAAACGGUGGGUACUAGGUGUGGGGUCCAUUCCACGGGUUCCGUGCCGUAGCUAACGCUUUAAGUACCCCGCCUGGGGAGUACGGCCGCAAGGCUAAAACUCAAAGGAAUUGACGGGGCCCCGCACAAGCGGCGGAGCAUGCGGAUUAAUUCGAUGCAACGCGUAGAACCUUACCUGGGUUUGACAUGGAUCGGGAGUGCUCAGAGAUGGGUGUGCCUCUUUUGGGGUCGGUUCACAGGUGGUGCAUGCCUGUCGUCAGCUCGUGUCGUGAGAUGUUGGGUUAAGUCCCGCAACGAGCGCAACCCUUGUUCACUGUUGCCAGCACGCUAUGGUGGGGACUCAGUGGAGACCGCCGGGGUCAACUCGGAGGAAGGUGGGGAUGACGCCAAGUCAUCAUGCCCCUUAUGUCCAGGGCUUCACGCAUGCUACAAUGGCUGGUACAGAGAGUGGCGAGCCUGUGAGGGUGAGCGAAUCUCGGAAAGCCGGUCUCAGUUCGGAUUGGGGUCUGCAACUCGACCUCAUGAAGUCGGAGUCGCUAGUAAUCGCAAAUCAGCAACGCUGCGGUGAAUACGUUCCCGGGGCU
rnacentral:rRNA from 1 species